GUUCAGGUGGAGACACAGAAGGUGCUCACCUCUUUGUCUUUAUAAGGCUGACCUACAGCUCAGCUGUAAAGCUGAGGUGGUGGCUUGGGCUGCUCUGUCCUGUAUGGAACAAAGGGCAAGAUGCCGGGGUGGAUCUGCUGCAGGCACAGCACGCUGGGGGGACACGCACUGCCCGCACCCUGGGGACGGGUGGCACCGGGUCAGUGGUGCCAUCACAGCACAGAAACAGGAGCCACGAAAUCACUGUCCUGCUGGGAUAUUCAGGCUGCAGCUUCCGAGGGCACCGCGGGGCCCCUUGGAGCCCUGGCUCAGGUCCAAGGCCACGGGCAUGCACAGGAGACGGUCUGGGCGGGCAGUAGGGGAGGCACCGAGCCCGUGAGCAAGGCUGCCUUCGGGGAACUAAUUUAGGCAGAGAAUUUCUAGAUUAGCUAAAUUGAAUCAAAACAUUGCAAUACAGUUCAAUAAUUACUUUUACAGCAAAUGUGCUUUAAAAUGAACAGAUCAUUUUGACAGAGAACUGAGCAGCUGAUGAUAAACUCAUAUGAAAGUAUGAGCUUUGUAUAUAUGAAACUGUAUAAAAGCCUUUAAUAUAUUUUUACUAUGAUCAUUAAUAUAGCAUAUAUUCAAAAAACUUCUACUGAAGCUUUCAAUUAUCUGUUUUUUCCCUUGUUUAAUAAAAUGUUGAUGGAGGAUGAGUAAUAAGUUGUC
rnacentral:lncRNA from 1 species